ACAUAGUUUUAUUUGUUGUGUAUUUAUCGUGUUUUUGUCAAGUGCAGGGCCUAACUCAAUCUACUUUGCCAUCAUUGUAGUUACUACAAGACAAAUCAUUAGAUGCAGUUACUAAUGAUGAAAUUACAAGCUGUAUUUUCUUGUGUCUUUGAUGGAAGUAAAUUUACUGACCAUGUAAAAUCAGCAUAUAGUUAUUUUUGGGUUGAAGGGAGACAGUGUAAUCUGCGAGGACAAGACCUUUUCUUUUUGGUUUUCUACCAGCUGUCUUCUCAUUGCAAAAGUUGAGAAAGGAACUCUCUUCUUGGCAGGUCCAGCUUAGUGUACUGCAAGGAAAACUGCUUGAGCAAGAUGAAGCUUUGAGGUUAUUUUGUUGGCACAGAAGCAAGCAACACUAGAAGUGUUAGAAAGGCAGGAAAAGGUGCAAGCAAAAGAAUUUAGGAACUUGAAGUCUAUGUAGCCUUUGUGCAUGUUCAAGUCUUAUGCUCUGAAGAAUAUAUGUAGAAUGUGAUGAUUCGUCAUUCAAAUGCUAACCAAGUUAUAUUAAAUGUAUGCUUGACUUUUCCUGGUUA